UACAGAGGGUGCAAGCGUUGUUCGGAAUUACUGGGCGUAAAGCGUGCGCAGGCGGUUCGGAAAGAAAGAUGUGAAAUCCCAGGGCUCAACCUUGGAACUGCAUUUUUAACUCCCGAACUAGAGUAUGUCAGAGGGGGGUGGAAUUCCACGUGUAGCAGUGAAAUGCGUAGAUAUGUGGAGGAACACCGAUGGCGAAGGCAGCCCCCUGGGAUAAUACUGACGCUCGAUGCACGAAAGCGUGGG
rnacentral:rRNA from 1 species